UACGAAGGGGGCUAGCGUUGCUCGGAAUCACUGGGCGUAAAGGGUGCGUAGGUGGGUCUUUAAGUCAGAGGUGAAAUCCUGGAGCUCAACUCCAGAACUGCCUUUGAUACUGAGGGUCUUGAGUUCGGGAGAGGUGAGUGGAACUGCGAGUGUAGAGGUGAAAUUCGCAGAUAUUCGCAAGAACACCAGUGGCGAAGGCGGCUACCUGGCCCAAUACUGACACUCAGGUGCGACAGCGUGGGGAGCAAACAGG
rnacentral:rRNA from 1 species